GUGCACCAGUCGAGAAACCUUUACAAUGUCUUCACGGACGAUAGGGGGAAUCCCUGAGUGCUCUAGCAUUGCUAGAGCUUUUGCUUACUGAAAAAAGGUAGGCGAAUAAGUGGUGGGUAAGACGGGUGCCAGCCGCCGCGGUAAUACCCGCGCCACAAGUGGUGACCACGUUUAUGGGUCUAAAAGCGUUCGGUAGCCGGCCUGAUAAAUUCUCGGUGAAAUCCU
rnacentral:rRNA from 1 species